rnacentral:rRNA from 1 species
GGAGCCGUAGCGAAAGCGAGUUUUAACUGAGCGUUCAGUUACUUGACGUAGACCCGAAACCGGGCGACCUACCCAUGAGCAGGAUGAAGCGAAAGUAAAAUUUCGUGGAGGUCCGAACCCACGAGCGGUGAAAAGCUCGGGGAUGACUUGUGGGUAGCGGUGAAAUUCCAAUCGAGCCCGGAGAUAGCUGGUUCUCCCCGAAAUAGCUUUAGGGCUAGCCUCAAGGUGAGAGAUACGGAGGUAGAGCACUGAAUGUCCUAGGGGGUAUUGCACCUACCGAAGACUAUCAAACUCCGAAUGCCGUCAUCUUAUACUUGGGAGUCAGACUGUGGGUGAUAAGAUUCAUAGUCGAAAGGGCAACAGCCCAGAUCGUCAGCUAAGGUCCCUAAAUGUAAGUUAAGUGGUAAAGGAUGUGGGAUUGCACAGACAACCAGGAUGUUGGCUUAGAAGCAGCCACUCAUUCAAAGAGUGCGUAAUAGCUCACUGGUCGAGUGAUCCUGCGCCGAAGAUUUCCGGGGCUAAA